CGGGCGGAGGGAGCAGGCUAGGGGAUCGGCGGUGGCCCUUUGCCCCUCCGCGGCGGUGGGCGAUGGGGCGUGUAGUCCGGCGCGUCGGGGAAGGCAGGAAGGGCCAGGGACAGAGAGCGCUGCAGCAAAGGCGUUGAGAACGUGGGGGGGGGGUUUUCGCCGCCCUCGGGAUUUGAGAAGGGACGCCCGAAGGGGGUGUGCUUGCUUUCGGGUGCCUGCGGUCAAGGCACGAGCGUCUCUAUCGUUGUCAUCAUCAACAACAACACCAACAUCAUACAAUCCAGAAGUAAAGAGGAAUUUCCUGACAGUGAGAACAGUCAGCCAGUGGAACUUCGCUUCCCUCCAGAGGUUGUGGAUGCUCCAUCACUGGAGGCUUUUAAGAAGAGACUGGACAGCCACUAGUCUGGAGUGGUUACAGGGUCUCCUGCUUGAGCAGGGGGUUGGACUAGAGGACCUCCAGGGCCCCUUCCAGCCCUAGGAUUCUAUGAUCAUCAUUAUUAGAUUUUUAGCCAUACAUACCCAGUGUGUCUGUACUUGUGUAUGCCAGAGUGACAAUUCAGCCUUAAUGGCACUUUUUCUACUCGGAUGUAGCUGCUGAAAUCUGGAGCACAUUUUGGUGGUUGAUAAGUGAGGGAAACUGGCUAAAUUAUAGAAAUGCACUACUUUUAUCCAAGGAAUACCAGAAAAUGUUAGGCUCCUGUCUGCUUUUUCAGAGGAGGCACAUGAUCCAUGCUUUUUCAUGUUGCCAGCCUCUUCUAGGACGUGACUGUUUCGGCCUCCGCACUCAUUUCUGUCCUCUCACAAAACUGCCUGCCAGAUGGAUAUCGGCUUACAGAAAAGUUGCCCCUGUCUUCACCAGAGCGUCAGCCUUUGGAGAAAAGAUAGCCAUCAUUGAUCAAAGAGGAGAACACACCUACAAAGAUUUGUACACUCGAAGUCUUUACCUCUCUCAGAAAAUCUGCAAGGCCCUUGGAAACUCAGAUGGUGACCUGAAGGGUGAACGGAUUUCAUUUUUAUGCCCCAACGAUGCUUCCUAUAUCGUUGCCCAGUGGGCUACCUGGAUGAGUGGAGCUAUUGCUGUGCCUCUGUACAGAAAGCAUCCUGUGUCAGAACUGGAAUACUUCAUCCAGGACUCCCAGAGUGCCCUUCUGCUUGCCGAGGAAGAGUUUGAGGAGAAAAUUACCCCGACUGUUGAGAAACUGGGGGUGCCUGUGCUCUCGCUUCCCCAGUCUGGAAAGUGGGAAGGGACAAUGGAUGGAUCUGCUGAAGAUGCCGGUUGCCCUAUUUCAGAGUGGGAGAACAGAGGGGCCAUGAUCAUCUACACCAGUGGGACCACAGGGAGGCCCAAGGGGGUCCUAAGCAGUCACCAGAAUGUCCAUGCUAUGAUAACCGGGCUGGUUGAAAAAUGGGCCUGGACAAAUGAUGAUGUCAUUCUCCAUGUCCUGCCCUUGCAUCAUGUCCAUGGGGUGGUCAACAAGCUGCUGUGUCCCCUCUGGGUGGGGGCCACCUGCAUCAUGCUUCCCGAGUUUAAUGCAGAAAUGGUCUGGGAAGCCCUCCUGAGUCUCCAGGCUCCCCGGGUCAACGUCUUUAUGGCCGUGCCAACCAUUUACAGCAAACUGGUUGCUUAUUAUGAUGAGCAUUUCUCUCAGCCGUGCGUCCAGGACUUCAUCCGUGCCGUCUGCCAGGAUCAUAUCCGGUUGAUGGUAUCGGGGUCCUCGGCCCUCCCGGUGCCGGUCCUAGAAAGAUGGAAGAGCCUUACGGGCCACGUUCUCUUGGAGAGAUAUGGGAUGACAGAGAUUGGGAUGGCACUUUCCAACCCACUGCACGGUCCUCGUGUUCCAGGAUCAGUUGGGACGCCGCUGCCCGGAGUUAAGGUGCGCAUCGCCACCGGAAGCUGGACGAAGGACAGUUCUGCCUUCUGCAUCCAUGCUGAAGGGGACGAGAUGGGCACAAUGGUGACUCCAGGCUUCGAUGCCAAAGAAGGGGAGCUCUUUGUGAAAGGCCCGUCAGUGUUUCGGGAAUAUUGGAGCAGACCUGUUGAAACCAAGGAGGCCUUUACUCCCGAUGGCUGGUUCAAGACAGAAGCCCUAAACCAGAGGCUCCUGUGUGGAAGCAGGUGGUCCUCCUGCCUUUCCUGGAAGGUGCAGCCACUUAGGAACACUUGCCGUGGCUUUCCAGCGUAUACGCAUGCCAGAGUGCGGAUGCCUCGCUUCCAACGGGAUGUGCACAAAUUUAUAAGUCUCCAGGGUCCACGCAAACCCUAAAAUGGACUUUCCAGCAGGAGGUUAAGAAGCUGCUCAGUGCUUCUUUCAAAGGGUCUUCUCCUGGGUCACCCACUCUCUGCCUUGCUCAGGAGCUGCAGUGCAACUUAAAAAGCAUGUCGGGAGAACUGCCAACACUCCUAAGACCUUGAAACGGUUGGUGCCUUCAGUCUCCCACCUUAUUCCUUCUGCCGUGGAAAGUUCAUGAAGAGAAUCAGACCAGCAGGGCGAGUCCAACACAAGAGGGGCCUAAUCCCAGAGCAACGUCUUGGGAACGGUUGGAUUCGUCUGAAUGUCUGUGGAGCUUCUCCGUCGUCCCAGAGAGAGUUUUUGAAAGGCAACUGGACUUUCUUGGUUUUAUCCUUUGGAAAUGUUCCACUCCUCAUCCAAGAUGCUUCUUUUGUUUUCAAGGAAAAAAACAAGGAACUCUGGUUGCAUUUUUGAAAGCACCUUUGGGACAUUGGAUCCAUCUCCAACUCCCCUGCGUGCCCUUUAGGGCUGGUGAACCUGCGUCUCCUGAGCCCUGGGCUCUGAUUUCCCCAUGCCAAGAUGGAAAUGUCACCGAGAGGCUGAGGACCCCCUGUCUCUCUGGGAAUUUCACCUUUGCCUUAAGGUCGCUCUGCGGAAACAGGAGGACCCUGAGGGGAACAGCUGGAGGACUGGAUUUAAGCCCCUAAUUUCCCCCAGUUUCCCAGCCCGGGAGAAGCUCUGGCACAAAGCCAGGUGAUUUUCCUUCGUUUGCCAAUCAGACUUUGAUGCACCAGCAAAUGCAGGCUUGGCUUUGGAUGAGGUGAUAUUUACUUUCCCAAGAGCCAUCCGGGCCCCUCUUUUCUCCGCAGCUGCACCUCCCUGCCCUUUGCUUGCCCCGUCAGGUUCCCUUCCUACCUUCCGUUUUGUUGUCCCACCCUGAAUGCGCACGCAGCCGGCUCUGAGGGGGGUCUCUGCUCAGCCACAGAGCUCCUUUCUUUUACUGGGGCAAAAAUGAAAAGGGUGGUGGGGGACGGCAAGUGGCAAGAAUUCCCUUGCAAUGAGCUUAAUGCCGGCUUCCUUUCCUCACCAUCCACCAGCAUCUGGAAGGAAUGCCUUGGUUUUUCAGACUCCAUCCGAGGCCUCCUAAGUCCUUCCCCCUUUUAUUUAACAUGGUUUGCCCAGGGAGCUGGUAAAGUCAUGGUUUUUGUUUUUUUUAAAAAAAAUAGCUGGACCUGUAAGCCUCCUGAUUUCCUCCCCCUCCCGUUGUGUAAUCCUGGCCAGAUAACAUCCUGGGGAGGGGUGGCCUCUGCUCUUUGCUCUCCAGAAGACCCUCCCCUGGGUAUCUGAGAGCAUAUUGACUCCGAGCGAGCGAAUGGGAGCAGGAGGGGAAAGGGGGGGGGGGGCUGGCAGCCCACUUGCUUAGAGACCCUCCGCCAGACAAGCCUCCUCACUGCAUUGGCCACUGCCAAAGCCUCCAGACGUCGUCCUGUUGCCGCCUCAGUGGAUUAUUUAAUCAUCUUCUUCAGAAGAUUCCCAGGAAGGUGCCCCCCCCCAGGGAAAGGGGGCAGGCGGGCUGUUGCUGGCUUUUGCCUGGUGUGUAAUUGAUCCCAGAGCUGUUCUGCGAAGGAGAGGCGCAGAGCAUGGGGGGGGGAGUUAACUCCAGCAUCUUGGUUAUUCCAAUUGCUUACAGCCAGGAUUCAGCCUCUCAAGCUGCCGAGAGGCACCGUGGGCUCUUUUCCCUUCCCUUCUCGCCAUCUGCAGCGCUGCCUAUAAAUACUUAAAUGCUCACGGGAGGGGAGAGACUCCCCCUUUCUAAUGACCCCCUUGCUUCUUUGCAGCAGCCCCACUAUGCUCUUCCCUCCGGAGCCCUUUCAGUGCCAGGCUGGGAGAGGCUCUGGGGUGGGCGCUGGGUGCUUGCAGGAUGCCCUGCCCAGAGGCCUUUGGCCGCAGACAGCAGGCUCCGCGCAGCACAGAGGCCCCGGCGGAGGACUGGUCCAUGACCAGAAGACAAGGGCAGGUGGGCUGGGCUGCCUCUGCUCCAGCAGGCUUGCACGAUCCACUUCUCUCCAAGGAAAAAUGGGGUUCUAGUACCCAUAUCCAGCAGAAGGUUUUGUGUGUCUGUUUUUGCAUCUGUGUGUGUGUGUGUGUAUCAGUUCACCACUGCAGCUGUUGUCUUCUUCCCUUCAUUCCUUUGGCCCUUUAAUCCAGGGGUCUUCGAACUUGGCCCUUUUAGGACUUGUAGACUUCAACUCCCAGAAUUCCUCAGCCAGCAUGCCUUUCUGGGAGUUAAAGUCCACAAGUCACAAAAGGGCCAAGUUUGAAGACCCCUGCCCUACAUCUUGAGUGACCCUCAAGGGCUCUGGGGGCACUUGGAACAGGAUGCUCUGGACAAGAUGGGGCUUCUCUCUGGUGGCACUUGGGGGGGGCUUCUGUCUCCUUGACUUUGGCAAGCAAUUGAAGUGGGACCCCCCUCUCCACAGACCAUUCUUUGCUCCAGCCUCCCCCCCUUUCCCCCGUAUGUUAUAAACACAUUCCUCCAGUCCAUCCAGCCCUCUGUAUCAAUCUUGUUUAAUAGACUGGAAAGCUUAAUGCGCAGUGGCGGGUCACGGGGAGCAUCGAGGUGAUAGAUUGUGCCUUCCCGGAGUCAGGCACCGUUGAUGUAUAAUGAAAUAUUUAUGAUUUAUUCCAGCUAAUAAACUGGAAUGAAGUAUGUGAUAUAUGUGAGCAGAUGGGGAACUAUCGAUGCAGUUUUCGUUUGGGGAGUGUGGGGAGGUUUAUGUCCACAACAUACACACACACACCACAACCCUCCAAUGCCGUAACUCCACCUUUUGCCUGACUGCGGUGGGGACAGCCAUUCCCCCCACCCCUCAUUAAUCUCCCUCCCUCUAAUUGUUUGCCAUCCUUUCCCACCCCCAUCUUCGCCCUUCCAGCACCUGUUUUCCAGAAAUGAAAAUCUCCCUGUCAAGAGAAAGCCAUUUAUUUGCUCCGGGGGGUUUGGGGAACUCGGCAAGUGGGUGCAGGGAACGUUUCCUGGGAUUUGCUUAGAUUUAGCAGGAAAAAGAUCUGAAAAACAUUUCCUCCUGGAGCUCCAAGGUGAUUGAGUGACACCCUCUUCCGUUGUCCUGUUGUUCAGAAAAGAUUGGAUUAAAUGGGUCCACCUGCUAUUUUGCUCCUGCCUGAAUUUUUUAGGUGUGUGUUCUGCACCCCUUAGGUGGCACCUGGCCAGCUCCAUCAGCUACUGCCUCCCAGUUCUUUGUCGUUCCCCAAUCGAUGAAGCCCCACGAGUUGUCGCAGCUGUGGUUAGCUUCAGAGAAGAGCUUCUAAGGGGCCUUCCUUGCCAGUAUAUUCCUUUCUGGGGAUGGGGGGCUUUGCCAGGGAAUAUGCCCUUGUCAAAGGGAGGAGAGGUCUGGGUGUGGAAGCAGCCUUUGGUCCUUCAAACCAAGAGAUCCGAAAAGGACCAACCGGCGUCCGGCUUCCAUCUCAGCAGGAGCCCCCAAAGGACGGUGCUUGGGAGGAGAGCAGUUCUGUGGCUGAUGGAGGGAGGGGGAGUGGGUUUCUGCUCUGGGCUUUGUGACCCCUCAUUGUGGCAUUCUCAGCCCAUCAAGCGAAGGGCAUUCCAAUCCCCAGGGCGCCUUCCAUUUUCCCUAAAGUGCAGCAGCAGCUGUGUAGAUUGCACUCCAUCGUUCGGUGUGAGCCUGUAAUUAUACCUGCAAAAACAGGAAGCCUCCGGCCCACCACUGAUGGCAGCAAAGCCCCCACCUCCUUUGGAUCCCAAGAGCCAAGCAGGCUGAACUGGAGGAGAAUGGAAGCCUGCACAAAUGCGUGGGAGGAGAUGGCCACUGAGGCAGGGGCUGCCCUGGGAAGGUGGCACUGAAAGCCUUUGCAGAGGGUCCUGUAGGCAAUGUUGGGGCAGGAUUAAGGCCAGCCAAGAGGGCCUCUACGUCCGGCAAGGACGCCUUGGCUCUGGCACCCGGGUUCUGGGAGGCAGCAGGCUGUUCCUCGGCCCCGUCCUGAGAAGCUGUGCCCAUCUCAGCCCUCUGCUUUUCU